GUUCAAGCGAUUCUCCCGCUUCAGCCUCCCGAGUAGCUGGGAUUACAGUUUCGCGAUCCAGAGUACGGGGAAUGGUUUGGCUACCUGAGCCGAGAGGGCAAGGUGGCCCUCUCCAUCAAGGGAGGUCCUUUCAAAGGCUGCUUCCACGUGCCGCGGUGCCUAGCCAUGUGCGAGGAGAUGCUGGGCGCCCUGCUGAGCCGCCCCGCCCCCCCCCCCCCCCCCCCCCCCCCCCCCCCCCCCGCCCGUCGAGGCGCGGAAUAAAGGCUGAGUCUGCUCCACCUGCGGCUGUGCGCGCGUCUGUGGGCUCCGGGGGCUGGGGCUGCGGCGCCGAGGGAGGGGCCUGCUCCAGCUCCGGGGCAGCGCCCGCCCCGCCCCCAGGCCCGCCCCGCGCUGACCGGCUGCGCGCAUUGGCCCGCUCCGCGCGCUAGCCUCUCCCGCGCAUUGGCCAAGCGGCCGGGAGGACGGGCCCGGCGGCCGUGCACUUCCGGCCGGUGGCCGGCCCGGCGCGCACCGCCCCUUCCGCCACCGCCCAGCGAGCCCAGCCCCGGUCCCAGCCCCGGCCGUCCCGGCGUCGCUUCGGAGCGCGGCGGCAGCUGACUGCGCCUUCACGAUCCGCUGGGACCCGCGAGCCCCGCCGC